GUUGACUUUUAAACCUCAAGCAGCACAGAAGGUGUUAGGCUGGGGGAACUAUAUUACUUUAACUCAAAUGUCGAGGAAGAUUGAGAAUGACUGAGCCUAAUCUCACAUCUGGGUGUAAAUGAGUGCCCAACCCCUACAGGCUGUGUUCACCGUCUGGUAAGCCUGAUGUGCAGAUGAGAGACUUCAGCUUCCUUACCAGUAUUUUUGCCUCCUGCAGGAAACUGGAGGCUCCAGCGUUACACCAGCUUUGCAGUGUCUUUGAAGAGAGAAAACAUCCGUAUCUGUAAUAUGAAAAAGUGUUGCAAGUUUUCCUAAAUGAAAUGGCAUAAAGGAGCAGCUCUUGCAGGAUGGGAAAUCCCUCACUGUGUUCAUACGUGUUUGACCGUCUCACACACACUGCUGUCCAUGAAGAGAAGCGUGUCAUCUCCAUGGAGCUACUCUUGGAAUAAGAACUAG
rnacentral:lncRNA from 1 species